UAUCAGCCUCAGCGUUGAGAGAACGAGAAAAAUGGGAAAACGAAAUUGAUGCAAUUUCAGUAGAUAUCGAUCGGAUGUCUUUCACGAUACCGAUGAUUUCCUUCGCCUGAGUGAUGCCGGAUAUUGCUCGGAUGAGCGUUAAAUUGUCGGAGAGGACUUCGAGGGAAGCGAUCUCCAGGUUGAUCGCCAUGCAAAGAGCCGCUCUGAUUGCACAGGUCUCUGCAACAAGUGGUGAUCCAAUCGACGUUUCUACCAUCGAUCCGCUGAGGGGGGUGUCGAAACCCAGUCCCGAGAAGAUCCACCCUAGUCCUGCUACGCGUCUUUCCUUAUUCCAAGCCGCGUCCGUCUUACAGGUUACUCGAUUGUUAACGAGGGUGAUCCUUGGUUGGUCUAGAGUGUGGGACUUGAGGUGUUUGCUGGCGUCCUUCGAAUAUCAAAGCGUUUCUUGACGACCAGAUGGCCCACAAGAUCCAUGGGAGGACAUUGAGGACGAUGCCUGAGGGAGGAAGACAGAUUGCUUUCCUGAAGCUGGCCACCAGAGCUUUUAGAUCAGACUUGACUCCAAAGUUAAAAUGCUCUUUUCUAGGAACGAGAAAUACAAUCAUAGUACGCAACAACUCGUAAAUAAGAGACACAAAAAAAGAAAGUGAAGAAGGCUAGGUUUAGCGGGUGUUAACGAGCCACCUCAGCAAUACGCAGCCACACCAGCACCACCAAAACAUAGAGAGGAUGAAGUGUGGACUCAGAACUGACCACCUUGGAAGGUUUGUCCGAACUGCCAAUUAGAAGGAGCCACGUCAUUGCUAACCACGGUCCGACCAUCGCUGGUGGUGACCUGGAAGGAGAGGCUCUGACCGUUGAGGUAAGAAUUGCUCUGCCAGUUUUGGCCCCAGUUCCUAGACAUUGCUUGCCACGACCCUGUUUUUGAGCCUCUGAUCGAGACGGCAUUGACGUCUCCUGCUCCUCCUACGUUUGAGACCAGAACGAGGUUGAAGUAAGAGUGUCCGUUGAUCGUAAACCUUAUCCCUCCUUUCUUCAUACACGGUACUCUGCA